AUGCCUAAAAUGGCUCUCAAAAUCCAGUCCCCAAGUAAAUUCCUAAAUACAACAGGAUUUCAGAAAUCACGAAAAGGACUACGGAGAAAUGUGGGUUUCCAGCGUGGGAACACCACACGGGGGCACCCACACGGCCGACUCCAAAUACGACACCAGCAAAUUUCAGGCGGGGUGGGGGGGACAGAGGCGCCGCGAGACCCUGCAACAGGGCGAGCGCUAAACGACACCCCGGCCUCCCCGCCCGACCCCCCGCCAGGUCGGACGGGGUGGGGAGGGGGCAACUGACCGGCUCCGAUCCCACCUCCAGCUUCCCCUCCCGGGCAGCCCGGCCGCGGAGGCUCGGGAGGAAAGGGCCGCGCUGGGGGCCGAGCGGGCGCCGGCCAGGGACCGCCCCCCCCCCCGG
rnacentral:lncRNA from 1 species